UACAGAGGUCCCAAGCGUUGUUCGGAUUUACUGGGCGUAAAGGGUGCGUAGGUGGUCGGGUAAGUCUCAUGUGAAAUCCCGCAGCUUAACUGCGGAACGGCAUGGGAUACUAUUCGGCUCGAGGAUUGGAGGGGGACGUGGAAUUCCCGGUGUAGCAGUGAAAUGCGUAGAUAUCGGGAGGAACACCUGUGGUGAAGACGGCUCUCUAGACCGCAACUGACGCUGAGACACGAAAGCGUGGGUAGCAAACAGG
rnacentral:rRNA from 1 species